rnacentral:lncRNA from 10 species
AGCGCAGCGCAGGGAGCGCAGGCGGUGGCGGCACCAGGUUCCCGGGGCUCCAGCGCUCGGCGCAGCGAAGUAGCCUCCGGCGGUGGCAACUACGGCGGCGGCGCCGGGGCGAUGCUGUGGGUCUCGUUGGGCGCCGGUGUCCUGGCCUCUUCCUCAGAACGAAGAACAAACUAAAUUCAUCUCAAAAUGAUUAUAAAUCAUCAAGAAGGAGUAGCCUGCCACCUGAACUACUCAUAGGAAAUGACAUUAGAGGAAGACUUCAAAGAAACAUUAAGAACUUGGAUCCCAUUCACCUGAGGCACCCGAAGAAGAGACCAUCCAUAUUUCCAGAUGGAGUUUCAUUCUUAUCACUCAGGCUGGAGUGCAAUGACGCGAUCUGGGCUUACUGCAACCUCCGCCUUCUGGGUUCAAGUGAUUCUCCUGCCUCUGCCUCCCAAGUAGCUGGGAUUACAGGUGCACGCCACCACACCCAGAUCAAGCUUCAAAAAGUGCAUGGUGGUUAUGCUGUUGAAGAACUUAGACAAGAAAAUAACUCACUUGGCAGUGAGCACAGUGGAGAAUCAAAGAAUCAAUGA